AUUUAAAUAGUUUAAUAAAAAUUUUGAUUUGUGAAUUCAAAGAUGCAUUUAUGUUUUAAAUA
rnacentral:tRNA from 1 species